GACGAACGCUGGCGGCGUGCUUAACACAUGCAGGUCGAACGGAAAGGCCCUGCUUUUGUGGGGUGCUCGAGUGGCGAACGGGUGAGUAACACGUGAGUAACCUGCCCUUGACUUUGGGAUAACUUCAGGAAACUGGGGCUAAUACCGGAUAGGAGCUCCUGCUGCAUGGUGGGGGUUGGAAAGUUUCGGCGGUUGGGGAUGGACUCGCGGCUUAUCAGCUUGUUGGUGGGGUAGUGGCUUACCAAGGCUUUGACGGGUAGCCGGCCUGAGAGGGUGACCGGCCACAUUGGGACUGAGAUACGGCCCAGACUCCUACGGGAGGCAGCAGUGGGGAAUAUUGCACAAUGGGCGGAAGCCUGAUGCAGCAACGCCGCGUGCGGGAUGACGGCCUUCGGGUCGUAAACCGCUUUCGCCUGUGACGAAGCGUGAGUGACGGUAAUGGGUAAAGAAGCACCGGCUAACUACGUG
rnacentral:rRNA from 1 species